rnacentral:rRNA from 1 species
AGAAGCCGACAAAAACGCUGGCGGGGUGCGCUCAUGCUGCAGCCGAGCGAAGCUUUCAGUAGUUUACUACAGAAAAUGACUGACGGGAACGGGUGAGUAACGCGUGAGCAAUCUACCUUAGUUACAGGGAUAGCCCGAGGAAACUCGGAUUAAUACCUGAUAUUCUUUAUUUCUCGCAUGAGAAUAAAAGGAAAGGUCAGCCGAACUAAGAUGAGCUCGCGUUCUAUCAGCUAGUUGGUGAGGUAAAAGCUCACCAAGGCUACGACGGAUAGCUGGUCUGAGAGGACGAUCAGCCACACUGGGACUGAGACACGGCCCAGACUCCUACGGGAGGCUGCAGCAGGGAAUAUUGCGCAAUGAGCGAAAGCUUGACGCAGCGACACCGCGUGUGGGAUGACGGAUCUAGGUUUGUAAACCACUUUCAGGAGGGAAGAA